UUUUCCUUCCUGUAGAUGGCAGUCUACUACUUCCCCCUUUACCUUCAUUUUACACUUUGUUCCAUUGACAUCGUUUUUCUUUAAAACUACUUUUCAUGAAAAGUGGGUAGAGAGAAAAAAACAGACAUUAGAAUGUACGGCAGACUCGUUUGCCUGCAUGUAGCUCGUUUCAGAUCGUGUUUUUGCGAGUAGCAUUAUGUUCUUUUGGUUGAAAGAAUUAUAGACGCAACCGUCAAGGGAAGUAAUUUUGUGGUGAAUGCUCAACAAUGGCCUCGAAUGAGCCAAGAGAGGACUCGUCGUUUUCGGGUUCAUUGGAAGCCGACUUAAGCGAACAAUGUACAGCUAAAAACAACGACCAGCUCGCUCUUUCCCAGAUGAAAAAGACAGGGGACAGUGGUUUGCAACCCAGGAAUAUACAAGUCCACAGUACAGCUUACAGUACAAGAGAAAUGAACAACACUGAACCAGAUUCUGUGAGAAAUAUGUGGUCUCAAGCUCAUAUGACAUCUACUGCUUCUAGUUCUUUGAAUUCAGUUCCUGGCUGCCAAAUUCCACCUCCUUGGCCCGAAACCUUGGUCAUGAGCACAGCUGCUUCUGUACCAUCUACUAAAAACUACAACAUGCCAACCCAGUCCUCAGCAAAUAACUAUCCUAACGUUAACCCAGUAAACUCUUAUUUAUUACCCAACAGUUCAAAUAGUUUACCAUUAUCUAGUUGUGGAAACCUCAAAGGACCUACCUAUUCUGAUAGUAUCCAAAAAGUUCCUACAAGUAAUCAAGUUCCAUUUUUCAGUCCAACAUCCAGCUCCAAAAAGAAUAAUUCUGUUAAAAUUCUCUCUGCUUCUAGUACUUAUAGUAAAACCGCUGCUGGUUUCCCCAGUUCAACAUUAGGUCAGAUAGGGUUCACUACAACUUCUGCUAGUUCUACAAGUUCAACAAACCCGCUAAUGAAUCCUUGUCCUAAAUAUUCUGCUCAGAGUCUUGGAAAACCAUCUGGCCUAAUAACAUCAAGUAACAUUAGCUCUAUUGCUCCGAACUUUUCAAAUUCUGGAACAGAACCCACGAUUAUUUCAAAAAGUUUUUCAACUCCAGUAAAUUCGAUGCAGUUAUCUCAUAGUAAUGACAGUCCGGUAGGGGUGACUUCGACGGAAAGUUAUCAACAGUCCACACCAGAUAUUAACUCUAUGAACAUAACUCAGGUUUCAAAUAGUUCUGUGAGUGCUGGACAAAUGCCGAGCAGUUCAGUGAUUCAUAUGGUUGCUGGUUCCAAGAAAGCUGGCCAGAUGAGACCCAUUUCUGUUAGUCCAAGUCAUAUAUUAUCUAGUUCUGUAAGUUCUGGACAUCUGGAAUCCAGUUCGUUGAACCAGGGUCAUAUCUCAAGUAGUUCUGUUACUUCUGGCCAUUGUAUUGAGGGAUCGAUGAAUUUAGGUCAUAUGGUCAACCCAGUAAAUCCUAAUAAUGCUUUGUUGACACCCAGUCAUAUGCAAAAUAAUGCUCUGAAAACAAGCCAUGGCCAGAUGUUACCUAGUACAUUACAACAACAACAACACCAGCAACAACAACAACAACACCAGCAACAACAACAACACCAGCAACAACAACACCAGAGUCAAAUUUCUAGUGGUCAAAUACACCCUGCACAAGUACAGGGUGGUUCAUUGCACACAAAUCAAAUACCCCCUGGUCCAAAACAUUCGAGUCAAAUGCCUGGUGUUCACACAAUGCAUCCUAUUCAGAUGAUAAAUACUCCUAUGAAUCAAGGGCCAGGCUCUGUGCAUCAGCCUCAAGUUCCUGCUGGAAUCAUGCAUCCCAGUCAAAUGCCAGCAGGGCAUAUGCAGGGAAAGCCAAUGGAGCAUAGUCAGCGGUCAGGACAUAUGCAUCCUGACCAAAUGUCAAACAGACCAAUGCUUUCCGGUCAAAUAUCAGACAUACCCAUAAGCACUCCUCAGUCUACUGUUGGUUCUUUACAAACUGGCUUUGUAGCUAGUUAUAUGAAUUCUAACCAAAGUUCCGUUUCUAGUAGCUCUCUUCAGCCAACACAGGCUCCUAGUAGCUCUGUAUAUUCUCCACAAGGAUCAGUCAGUUCUAGUUACAAUAUACAAGAUUCUAUUUACUCAAUGCAAAGAUCUAGCAAUUCCUCCUAUCCAGGACAAAUGUCAGGAGGUUCUGUUCAUCCUGCUCAGGUGUCAGGGGGCUCUAUACACCCGGCACAGGUGUCAGGUGCUUCUGCACACCCUGCACAGGUGUCAGGUGCUUCUGCACACCCUGCUCAGGUGUCAGGUGCUUCCACACACCUUGCACAGGUGCCAGGAAGUUCUGUACAACCUGUUAUGGUGUCAGGUACUUCCACACACCCUGCAAAGGUAUUAGGUACUCCUGUACGCCCAGCUAUGAUGCCAGGCAACUCCGCACACCUAGCACAGGUGUCAAGUAGCUCUGCACACCUGGCACAGGUGUCAGGCAGCUCUGCACACCCUGCACAGGUGUCAGGCAGUUCUGCACACCCUGCACAGGUGUCAGGCGGCUCCACACUCCUUGCACAGGUGUCAGCCGGCUCCACACAACCUGUACAGGUGUCAGGUAGUUCUCCAUACCCUGCACAGGUGUCAGGCAGCUCUGCACACCCUGCACAGGUGUCAAGUGGCUCUGUACACUUUGCACAGGUGUCAGGCAGUUCUGCACACCUUGUACAAAUGUUGGGUAAUACUACCCAGGUGCUAGGCAAUUCUGUUAACUCUACUCCAGUCGCUUGUAGCUCUGCCAGUUCUUUACAGAUGUCAGAUAAUGUAUCACAGCUUUCCCAAGUAUCAGGCAGUUCUGUGCAUCCAUCACAACUAUCAGACAACGCUGUGCAUCUAUCACAAAUGGCUGCCAGCUCGGUGCAUUUACCACAAGGAUGUAGUAAUUCUACUUCGUCAGCACAGAUAUCUGAUAGCUCUCAUGUAACACACCUACCCAGUGGCUCUGUGGAUCCUCUGCUGGUUCCUGGUAGUUCUUCCCACAUCAUGCAGAAACCAGCUAGUUCUACUCACCUUUUACAAGCCUCAAACACUUCUGCACAUGUGUCAUCGGUUUCACAUUUGAGCACAGUUGGGCCUCAACUGCAUGGUACUUCUGGAAAGCCACUAGCUGCAAAUUAUACACCCACUGCACCAGUUCCAGUAAGCUCUGGUAAACAAAGCUUGAAUAAUCCUGUUGCUCCAGCAAGAACUGCCUCGGACCCCACUAAGUUACGGAGCCCCUAUGGGAAUGCUAACUUUAUGAAAUUGAACCAAGUGUCUAGUAGUAGUUCUGAAAGUCGGGGUCUGAAAACUAAUAACUUGUUGUCACACAGUCAGGGUACAACAAGCUCUUAUAAAGAUUCAACCAAUCUCAGCAAAACAGAACAGACUGUCGACAGUGUUACUAACACUGCUUUUAUUUCCAGUAACACUUCUCCGGUUGAAAGACCUGUUAGUAGUCUCCCCAAUAUAAGCCAGGUUAUUGAGGAGUCAUUGAAUACUAACAUGAUUUCAGAUGCUUGCAGGAAAGAUAAUAGUUCAAACUCGUGUAAAAAAGUCAAGCCAUCUACUGAGGUUUCUAACACUUUUCAAGCUUCAUCUAGUUCUCUCCCCAACCAAACAAUUGAAAAUGUUUCAAAAUUAAAUUAUAUUUCCGGGAAUGUAGUUAAAACUGACAAAAUGUAUGGCAGUUCUUUAAAACCUGAACAGUUACCAUCAAGUCUUGUCACAAAUGUACAGGCACCCAAUAACUCUCGAAAGACUAGUGAAAUGUCUGGAAAUUCCAAAACUGAUCAGAUGGUGGCUGGUUACAGUGGAUUUGGUCAAAUAUCUAAUACUGCUCUGAAGACUGGUGUAGUGGAAAGCACUUUACCUGGUAACAUUGUAAAACCUUCAACAGCUGACAAUUCUAAGAAACCUGAAACUACACUGGGAAGUAAUGACAAUUCCAUGAACACUGCCUCUGUAAGUACCAAUUCUUCGAGAACUGGUCAGUUGUUUGGCAACACUGGAAAGACAGAUUAUGUCACAGGAAGUUCUAUGAAAGUGGAGAAAGUGACUGGUGAUCCUUUAAAGGCAGUAAGUCAGAGUAAAAUGGGCCAAGUGUGUAGCACAACUAACAGAUCUGUUAACCAACAUCCAGCUUCUAUGUUUUCUUCAAAUAACGACCAAGCAUCCGUUUCUUCAUCGCGAAUUAGUCAGAAUCGAAGAUGUUCCAGCUCUUUCAAACCAGAUGAAGUUUCUGGCAACUCCUUUCGGAAUGAGAAUUCUUUGACUAGUUCAACUGAAAAUUUUCUCGUUACUGCCAGUUCAGCUGUAAGUUGUCAGGUAUCAGCCAGUUCAGUAAGUGGAAGCCACACAGUUAGUGAAGCACAUACAGCAAGCUCAACUCAGAACAGCCAGGUUACUGCUAGUUCCAUUGACCAUGGUCAGGUGUCGGCCAGUUCUACUGAAAGCCAUCAGCUUUUAGAUAACAGCCAAGUUAGUGGCAGUGAUCAUGUUACAGCCAGUUCUAAUGAAAAGAAUCAAGUUUCUGCAAGUUCUUCUGCUAGUCUCGUGGGCAGCACUCAGGUUAGUUGUACAGACACUAACAGCAACCAUGCUAGUUCAUCGGCUACCUCAUCUGAAAAUUGCCAAGUCACUGCCAGUUGCACUGAAAACAUUCAGAAUGUUGUUAGCUCAAUGAGUGUGGACCAAGAAAGCAGCCAAGAUGUUGCUACAUCGUCAGCAAACAGUUUAUUGGAAGAUGGUUUUGGAAAUUGUGAUGCAUCCGACAUUUCUGCUUCAACCACAACGUUUGGCAAUGAAAUCACUAACAACCAAGGCAUAUCAAGUUCUACUGAAUUUGAAAAUCAGUUUGAUGUGCAGCACUUGUCGAGUAUUGAUGUUAAUUCUGCUGAAAGUUCAGAAGCCACUUGCAGGUCAGUGAAGGACAUAGGACAGGCGUCAAGUUCUAGUCAGUCUGACUUGAGAAAAACGGAAAAAAAUCAAGCAACUUCUACAACUGCUAUUGCAUCAUCGGAUUGUUCUGAACAAGCUAAAUUAAUUAACUCUGGCUCUCCUUCAGAACCGACAUCUAGUUCUACCGAAAACUCUCAAAUUAGUUCCAAUAUAAAAGAAGAAUCAGCAGAAGCUAGGGUUGAAACAGCAAUGGAGGUUUCAAGUGUCGAAGAAGCAGAUUCAGCAACUACUAGUGCUGAAACUACAAAACCUAAAGCAAAUGGGACCACACCUUGUCCACCAGUUGUAACAACAACAGAGAAAAGUAGUUCAUCUAGCCGUAAAGAUCACGCCAGUGAGACUGUGGAUCAUGACGACCAUGAACAUCAUGCCUUCCUUCCUGAUCAACUUUUUGAGUACCAAUGGCCAGAUAUGAGUAGCGAGUGGUACAUACUGCAAGAGCAAGUCAGUGAAUACUUGACUGUUAAAUCAUUUAAACGAAAAUAUCCAGAUCUGAAAAGACGGCCUGCAGAAAUGAAAGAAAAGGAAUUCUUGAGAGAACGUGGUGUAGUUACUGAAACCCAGUGUGAUCUUGGAUUAACCGCCCUAAGAUGUGAAGAAGUAUAUGAUUUGAUGUUGAGAGAUUAUCCUGAGAAAUAUCAGGAAUUCGCUUCAAUUCUCCAUGAACGGGAACGACAGUCUAUUAAUGAGAAGCACAAAGGUUAUGAAGUGCCUCCUAAGCUUGAAAAGAGCAAGAUGGCUGAUUAUGUAAGGAAAGCAAUGAGAUCAGCUUCGGAGUUUAAUAGCCAGUUUCAGCGAGAAAGAAGAGAGGAGAGAAGGGCAUAUUUUGACUUGCAAACUAUGGUUAUCCACUAUCCUGCUCACAAAUAUCCAAAACUGGAAACUGCUUGUGCGAAAGUACCUGCUUAUCCUGUUAGCUUGAUUCCAGGGCAAUACCAAGAAUUCUACAAAAAAUAUGAACCAAAGGAACUUAAAUACUUUCCUCUCAACACGUGUAUUUAUGGGCCUCCCAAAAGGAUACUUAAUCCUUUAGUGAAACCUUCAAAUGUGGAUUCAUCUGAAGAAAUGGACGAUAACCAAGAUGAUCAAGCAGAUUCUGGUUCCGAUGGUGAGAGUAAUGACAAUGAUUCAAGUGAUUCUGAAGUUAGCCAGCCUGUAAUUCCUCAACCACCUCCUACUCCUUCUCCACGGAGAGGCCGGAAAAGUGCUGCAGACCACAAGGACCACAAAGAGCUAUCUUUUUUCUCCAAAAAGCAUACAAACCAAAAGAAAGACUGCCGCUUUUGCCAUAAGGGCCCCAUGAAAGGGCGAAAUAGAAAGGACGAGCUUGUCAGCUGUUCUGAAUGUGGGUCAACUGAAAUCGGUGUAUAUACUAAAACUGAUGGCAUCUCCAAAUUAACAAAUGUCACCCCGCUUGCUUGGAUUUGACCAAAGCAAUGGUGUCUAUUAUCAAGAAUUAUCCCUGGCAGUGCAUGGAGUGCAAGACAUGUGUUCAAUGUAUGGAUCCUUAUGAUGAGGAUAAAAUGAUGUUCUGUGACAGAUGUGACAGAGGCUAUCACACAUUUUGUGUGGGCCUUAAAGCAAUUCCAACAGGUCGGUGGGAAUGUACUAGUUGUAAAGAAACGGAGCCUGUAUUAUUAUCACCCAGAAACACC
rnacentral:misc_RNA from 1 species